rnacentral:rRNA from 1 species
AUUGAACGCUGGCGGCAUGCUUUACACAUGCAAGUCGAACGGCAGCGCGGGCUUCGGCCUGGCGGCGAGUGGCGAACGGGUGAGUAAUGCAUCGGAACGUGCCCAGUAGUGGGGGAUAGCCCGGCGAAAGCCGGAUUAAUACCGCAUACGACCUGAGGGUGAAAGCGGGGGACCGAAAGGCCUCGCGCUAUUGGAGCGGCCGAUGUCGGAUUAGCUAGUUGGUGGGGUAAAGGCUUACCAAGGCGACGAUCCGUAGCUGGUCUGAGAGGACGACCAGGCACAAUGGGGAUGGGAGAAGGGCCGGAACCCCCAGGGGGGAAGGAGUGGGGAAUUGGGGAAAAGGGGGGCAACCCCUAUCCCGCCCUGCCGGGGUGGGGAAAAAGGCCUUCGGGUGUGAAACCGCUUUUUGUGGGGAAGAAAUUCUCUGGGCUAAUACCCCGGGGGGAUGACGGUACCGGAAAAAAAAGCACCGGCAAACCACG